GUCUACAGCCAUGCUACCCUGAACAAGCCCGAUCCCGUCUGAUCUCAGAAGCUAAGCAGAGUCAGGCCUGGCUAAUACUUGGAUGGGAGACCACCUAGGAAGACGAGGUACUGUAGGCA
rnacentral:rRNA from 1 species